GUGCACCAGGCGCGAAUCCUUCGCAAUGCGGGAAACCGCGACGAGGGACUCCCAGUGCCUACGCUCAGCGUAGGCUGUUCCCGAGCCUAGAAAGCUCGGGGAGUAAGGGCUGGGUAAGACGGGUGCCAGCCGCCGCGGUAAUACCCGCAGCCCCGAGUGGUGGCCACUAUUAUUGGGCCUAAAGCGUCCGUAGCCGGCCCGGUAAAUUGCCUGGGUAAAUCGUGAGGCCUAACCUCACGAAUUCCGGGUAGACUGCCGGGCUAGGGACCGGAGGAGGGAGAGGGUACUCCAGGGGUAGGGGUGAAAUCCUGUAAUCCCUGGAGGACCACCGGUGGCGAAGGCGCUCUCCUAGGACGGGUCCGACGGUGAGGGACGAAAGCCAGGGGAGCGAACCGGAUUAGAUACCCCCGUAGU
rnacentral:rRNA from 1 species